rnacentral:lncRNA from 1 species
CUAAUCAACUGUUUUUAGUUGGCAAAUACAAUUCUAUGUUAUCGUAUGUGAUUUACUUGUUAAAGAAUAUUACCAAUAAAAAACCAAGGGACAUAAACAUCCAUAAUUACAUGCCAAGGUUUAACAUAACUGUGUCAGUCCUUUGAACAAACACAACAUUACUUGGAAUUGUAUUGCUUGGUGAAUAUCACGUUUUAAAAGUAUUCAUUAUGAAUAGUAUGUUACCACUAAAGUUAUUUAUGAAUAAAAUAUACAUGGUAGACUCAGCUCAGUUAUCUAUAGGGGAAAUGUAUUAAUAUAUUUCUGUCGUUGUUAGGCAUGUUAAAGAUUGAUAAGAAUAACAGGGGUUGUGAGAUAUAUGUCAACAAUAAUAGAGCGUUCUCACAUUUUUGAUAAAAGGUAGGAACGAACGUUAAAGGAGCAUGUAUUACAUUAAAAAUAAU